rnacentral:rRNA from 1 species
UAGAGUUUGAUCCUGGCUCAGAACGAACGCUGGCGGCAGGCCUAACACAUGCAAGUCGAACGCUGUACCAAUACAGAGUGGCAGACGGGUGAGUAACACGUGGGAACAUGCCCUUCGGUUCGGAAUAACUCAGGGAAACUUGAGCUAAUACCGGAUACGUCCGCGAGGAGAAAGAUUUAUCGCCGAAGGAUUGGCCCGCGUCUGAUUAGCUAGUUGGUGAGGUAAUGGCUCACCAAGGCGACGAUCAGUAGCUGGUCUGAGAGGAUGAUCAGCCACAUUGGGACUGAGACACGGCCCAAACUCCUACGGGAGGCAGCAGUGGGGAAUAUUGGACAAUGGGCGAAAGCCUGAUCCAGCCAUGCCGCGUGAGUGAUGAAGGCCUUAGGGUUGUAAAGCUCUUUUGCCCGGGAAGAUAAUGACGGUACCGGAAGAAUAAGCCCC